rnacentral:rRNA from 1 species
AUACGUAGGUGACAAGCGUUAUCCGGAUUUACUGGGCGUAAAGGGCGUGUAGGCGGUCUUGCAAGUCAGAAGUGAAAUUCCUGAGCUCAACUCGGGCGCUGCUUCUGAAACUGCAGGACUUGAGUGCUGGAGGGGAUAGCGGAAUUCCUAGUGGAGCGGUAAAAUGCGCAGAUAUUAGGAAGAACACCGGUGGCGAAGGCGGAGAACUGGACAUUAACUGACGGUGAGGCGCGAAAGCGUGGGGAGCAAACAGGAUUAGAUACCCGGGUAGUCCACGCCGUAAACGAUGAAUACUAGGUGUAGGGGGUAUCGACUCCCUCUGUGCCGCAGUUAACACAAUAAGUAUUCCGCCUGGGGAGUACGGCCGCAAGGUUGAAACUCAAAGGAAUUGGCGGGG